UACGAGGGGUGCAAGCGUUGCUCGGAAUUAUUGGGCGUAAAGGGUAGGUAGGUGGUCUCGUUUGUCAGGGGUGAAAGCCUUGGGCUUAACUCAAGAAGUGCCCCUGAAACGGCGAGACUCGAGUACUGGAGAGGCUAGUGGAAUUCCCGGUGUAGCGGUGAAAUGCGUAGAGAUCGGGAGGAACACCAGAGGCGAAGGCGGCUAGCUGGACAGUAACUGACACUCAACUACGAAAGCGUGGGGAGCAAACAGG
rnacentral:rRNA from 1 species